UAAGGUGUAGCAUGUGGAGCUUUGUAUGGUGUUUGAAACCCUAAUCAGGGAUAGUUGAUAUUUAGGUGCUUUGCUGGUUUGGCUUUCUAAUCUACGGUUUAUCAAAACCCUAGUCCUUGGCUUUGAGGUUUGUGAACCCUAUAGUUUGCAUUGAGGUAGUGGAAACCCUAGUUAUGGUUCAUGGCAUUGAUGCGCCACUUGAGUUGACUUCUCUCCUAACUUGAGAUUCUUGAUUGAUACACUUCUUUGAACUUUGACUUAG
rnacentral:lncRNA from 1 species